GGAAGAUGGAGGAGGAAGGGGAAAGAAAAAGGAUCCCUUUAGUUCCAGAAAAUCUCCUGAAAAAGAGGAAGGCUUAUCAAGCCCUCAAAGCCACUCAGGCAAAACAGGCACUUUUGGCAAAGAGAGAGAGAGAAGGGAAAGAAUUCAGGUUUAGACGACUAGAAUCUUUCGUACACGAUUCCUGGCGGCAGCAACGUGACAAAGUGCAUGUCCAGCAACUAGAAGUGAAGCCUCUUGCUUUGGAGGUGCCUGAUAAACAUUCCUUGGCCUUCGUUAUACGCAUGGAAAGGAUUGAAAGAGUGAGUUUAUUGGUAAAGAGCAUCAUCAUGAAACUUGGCCUGAAGAAAUUGUUCAGUGGCGUCUUUGUCAAGGUCACCUCUCAGAGUGUAAAAAUGCUGCGUCCAGUGGAACCUUAUGUGACCUGGAGAUUUCCAAAUCUGAAGUCUGUCCGGGGGAAUUCAUCUUGAAACGUGGACAAGCAAGGAUUAACAAUAAGACAGUCCCUCUGACAGACAACACAGUGAUCGAGGAGCACCUGGGGAGAUUUGAUGUCAUUUGCCUGGAAGACCUCAUCCAUGAGAUUGCCUUCCCUGGGCAGCAUCUCCAGGAGAUCUCUUCAUUCCUGUGCCCUUUCCACCUCUCUGUGGCCCGUCAUGCUACCAAGAGUAGAGUGGGCUUCCUCAAGGAGAUGGGCUCACCUGGCUACCGGGGAGAACGGAUCAAUCAGCGCACCCAGCAGCUCAACUAGAGCAGGAACGGGUUUUUCAAAAGCACACACUGCAAGUAUUUUUGUUUAAAAUUGUCAAGUAUCUUCAGAGAAGAUUAUUUUCUGC